UUCCUGGGCACCCUGUUUCAUCUCAUUUAAUUCUUGCUUCAGCUUAGAGGCAGACACCAUUAUCCCAUUAUAGAUGAGAGAGUUGAGAUGAGACACUGCAAGAGUCAGUGUGGCUGCGCAGCCCAUGCAUCUUCGUCACGUCACCUUGCACUUCACUUGGAAACUGUAAUUGAUUUGCACCAUGCUUUAUGUUUUCCCAGAUGUGUCUUUUUCGGCAUUUCGCUCAGCUCUUCAUUCUGCAGGAUCAGCUCUGCAGAUUUAAUACGUGGGAGUGUGAUUAGAUUUUCCUGUUGCCACAGAUUUAAAAAAACAACAACAUAACAUUGGGACAAUCCAGGAAGAAGAAAUAAUAACUAAACAUAUGUAUGAAUCUAGCACCAUGUCACUCAGAAACACAAAGCAAGCAUUAGCAGAGAACUGCAUUGCCAUACGAUGAUUACCAGAGACUUCAGCACUCCAAUUUCAGCAAUGGGUAGCCAAUUCAGACAGAAAACCGGCAAAGGAUUUUUGUAGUUAAACUGUCUUGCCCUCUAGACCAAAUGGACAUGCCAGAUGUUUACAGAGCUUGUCAUCUGAUGUUGGUGAGUAAUCGUCUUCUCAGCACAUGGGAUAUUCUGCAGGGAAGAUUGGAUACUGAACCAAAGAAGUCUCAGUGAAUUUUUUUUUCAAUAAAAACCAAACAUUUGUGAAUUGCA
rnacentral:lncRNA from 1 species